AUCGGUUUAGUAUAAUUAAGGUAAUACGAUAAAUUGUAAAUUUAUAGCUAGUAUAAUUCUAACCGAAA
rnacentral:tRNA from 1 species